rnacentral:rRNA from 1 species
CAUAGGUUAAUGAGGCGAACCGGGGGAACUGAAACAUCUAAGUACCCCGAGGAAAAGAAAUCAACCGAGAUUCCCCCAGUAGCGGCGAGCGAACGGGGAGGAGCCCAGAGCCUGAAUCAGUGUGUGUGUUAGUGGAAGCGUCUGGAAAGGCGUGCGAUACAGGGUGACAGCCCCGUACACAAAAAUGCACAUAUUGUGAGCUCGAUGAGUAGGGCGGGACACGUGGUAUCCUGUCUGAAUAUGGGGGGACCAUCCUCCAAGGCUAAAUACUCCUGACUGACCGAUAGUGAACCAGUACCGUGAGGGAAAGGCGAAAAGAACCCCGGCGAGGGGAGUGAAAAAGAACCUGAAACCGUGUACGUACA